GGAAUUUUCCGCAAUGGGCGAAAGCCUGACGCAGCAACGCCGCGUGAGUGAUGAAGGCCUUCGGGUCGUAAAGCUCUGUCGCAGGGAACGAAGUGGGAUGACGGUACUCUGCAAGAAAGCCCCGGCCAACUCCGUGCCAGCAGCCGCGGUAAAACGGAGGGGGCGAGCGUUGUUCGGAAUUACUGGGCGUAAAGGGCGCGUAGGCGGUCAUGCAAGUCGGGGGUGGAAGCCCACGGCUUAACCGUGGAAUUGCCUUCGAAACUGCAUGACUUGAGUACGGAAGAGGAGAGCGGAAUUCCCAGUGUAGCGGUGAAAUGCGUAGAUAUUGGGAGGAACACCGGUGGCGAAGGCGGCUCUCUGGUCCGAAACUGACGCUGAGGCGCGAAAGCUAGGGGAGCAAACGGGAUUAGAUACCCCAGUAGUC
rnacentral:rRNA from 1 species